AUUGAACGCUGGCGGCAUGCCUUACACAUGCAAGUCGAACGGCAGCACGGGUGCUUGCCCCUGGUGGCGAGUGGCGAACGGGUGAGUAAUACAUCGGAACAUGUCCUGUAGUGGGGGAUAGCCCGGCGAAAGCCGGAUUAAUACCGCAUACGAUCUACGGAUGAAAGCGGGGGACCUUCGGGCCUCGCGCUAUAGGGUUGGCCGAUGGCUGAUUAGCUAGUUGGUGGGGUACAGGCCUACCAAGGCGACGAUCAGUAGCUGGUCUGAGAGGACGACCAGCCACACUGGGACUGAGACACGGCCCAGACUCCUACGGGAGGCAGCAGUGGGGAAUUUUGGACAAUGGGCGAAAGCCUGAUCCAGCAAUGCCGCGUGUGUGAAGAAGGCCUUCGGGUUGUAAAGCACUUUUGUCCGGAAAGAAAUCCUUGGCCCUAAUACGGUCGGGGGAUGACGGUACCGGAAGAAUAAGCACCGGCUAACUACGUG
rnacentral:rRNA from 1 species